AACUGAGGCAGACACUGGGAGCUUGUCUUCUCCUCGCACUAGCGAUCCUCCCCUCCAGGCAGGCUGAUGCUGUAAGAACUGGCCCUGGCAGGAUCAGCUCCUCUAGAGGGUACUAAAAAGGGAACAGCAAAGUUUCACUUUCAGCUCUCCCUUAUUCUGAUGACAUCUGUCAGAUGCACGGCUGCUGGUGGUGUGGAAGAUACUCCUCUGUUGGGAGGUGCAGUGUUGAACACCGGCAUGACUGACAGCAGUCUCCAGGCUCUGGCUGCUGAUGAACAUUGUCGGUGCCCCUCAUAUAAUGAUGACUUACCUCUUCCCAGAUUGGACAAGAGGAGGCCUGUGAAAAGCACCAUUGCUUGUUUUAAUCUUUAUAUAGAGCAUACCAUGACCCUGGCAGAGGAAAAGCAGCUAAAUCCUACCUCCUCUAUGAAUACGUUUAGAAACACCAACUGAUCAAAGUUAACACUGUGCGAUGAGCAACUGAGUUACUCCUGUUACCACACGUUCCUGGGCUUGACAGACUGCAUCAUUUGGUGUGUUGAUGUAUCAGGAUUUCAUACACCAUGAAUAUUCACCGCGCAUAUUAAAUUAACCAGAUAAAUUAAUAAAUAAAAGACAGAGAGGCUGGAAUAAAGGACAGAGAAAAUGAGCAGAUUUUGAUCUAGUAAGCAAUUUAAAUCUGUGCUGGCAAGCUGUAUUCGUUCAUUCAUUAAUUCAGUCGUGUGCUCAGAAAACCCCAGCAGAGCUCCCUUCCAGCGCAAGAACUUCCGACUGUGAAAUAAACCCUGCGUAACCAGAUUAACUAUGAAGUAUGUAUCAGCCAGGUCUUAGGCAUUAAUUCAAGCAUACCUUGCCUGCACUGUACAUCACCAGAGCCUGGAUUCUGGAUCAGGUGUCGCUCACUGGCAGGCAUAAACUCUGUGAA